CACGCAGUGCAGUCUCUGGUAUUUAUAUAUUAAAAGCAACGCAGUUACAGGAAAGAUAACAGGGGGGGGUUCUGAGCCGCUCCCUGGCUUAUCAUACUGCAUUCAGACCUGCUAAACUUGUCUUUAAAAUGGUAUACAUGUUUGUUUCACAGCUAUCUUAUCUCUUCUCAUCAAGCACAGCAGUAAUGGAACUAAGACACACCUGAGCUUGUCAUCGUAGUUAAACCUGCAAUGGGUGAAACUGCUGUGCAAUAGGAGUCUUAUUUCCAUCCCUGCACUGGUGUCAGAACUGAGGAUUUAGGAGGAGCGGCACUUCACAACCACACCAGUUAAAUCAUAAGCAAGUCUAAUAAAUAAAACAAUGUGCUUGGACCUGCAGGAGGAUAGUGCCUGCUCCGCAGUGGAGCCCCCACGCACGCCAGCCUGCUCCGCAGUGGAGCCCCCACGCACGCCAGCCUCCUGCUCCUCUGACCCCUAUGGAGUGCAAGCAGUGGUGGACUGUGGAGACAUCUCCAUCCCACUCAUGGUCUUGUACCCAGAGUACAGAGCCAGCCUGCUGGCCGAGGUUCUCUCAGAAGCUGUUUCAGUGACUGAUGAAUAAUAUGGAUGUUGGAGAACAUGUUUUAAACCGAUGGAAUGAAGGAGGUGGCCCUGCUGAUUACCCUGAACAGGGACUGUCAGUCCUCUUUAUUCCUGUGGAUUUCUAAAAAGGGGCAUUUUUAUUAAAAGUGAAAAACAGAUCCACAUUGGACCAUGUUAACCGCUGUUCAGAUCUGAUUCUACACUGUGAAUCUCUACCUGAGUGUUCUGUUAAAGUAACACUAUAUUAUAGUCAUACUAUAUUCAGAUUCUCAUUCCUCAUGGAAUGUUUUAGCUAUUGAAAAAUGUUUGCCAAUUUUUAAAUGACAGUGUAUCAUUGUUUAA